rnacentral:rRNA from 1 species
CCCUUAGAUGUUCUGGGCGGCCCGCGCACUACAAUGGCGCUUUCAGCGAGUUCCUAUGUUGAAUUUUCCUUGGUAUUCUUGGAAGCGGCGUCUUGACUUGGGAUAGAUCCUUGUAAUUGUUGGUUUUGAACGAGGAAUUCCUUGUAAUCGCGGUUGAUCAGCUCGCGUUGAAUACGUCCCUGCCCUUUGUACACACCGCCCGUCGCUACUACCGAUCGAGCGCCCUAGCGAGGUCGUCCGAUUGUCGCCGAGGCCGGCUUUCGCGAGCUGCGCAUCCGACGAAAAGGCGAUCGAACUCGAGCGCUUAGAGGAAGUAAAAGUCGUAACA